rnacentral:rRNA from 1 species
UACGUAGGGCGCGAGCGUUAAUCGGAAUUACUGGGCGUAAAGCGUGCGCAGGCGGUUAUUUAAGUCAGGUGUGAAAGCCCUGGGCUUAACCUAGGAAUUGCGCUUGAGACUGGAUAGCUUGGAGUGCGGCAGAGGGAGGUGGAAUUCCACGUGUAGCAGUGAAAUGCGUAGAGAUGUGGAGGAACACCGAUGGCGAAGGCAGCCUCCUGGGCCAGCACUGACGCUCAUGCACGAAAGCGUGGGGAGCAAACAGG